rnacentral:misc_RNA from 1 species
AUCGAGUCAUGUCCGUUGCUUUCUUAGAGUUGAAGACGAAAAAAAAUGGAGCUGCAAACGAAGGUCGCGCAAGCUGUUCACGUGCUAAAUCACGAUAGCCAAUCGUGCAACCGUGUUGCUGCUAAUCAAUGGUUAGUACAGUUUCAACAGACAGAUGUUGCUUGGGAAGUAGCCACGUCCAUCCUGACAUCCAAUUAUCACCAGCAAUUUGCUUGUGACUUUGAAGUCGAAUUUUUUGCCGCUCAGAUUCUCAAGCGAAAGAUACAAAAUGAAGGAAGCUACUUGCAAAUGGGAGCAAAAGAUGCUCUGCUAAAUGCUCUUCUGUUGGCUGCUAAGAGAUUUA